UCACUGCUGGGGUCCUCGGUUCCUCGGGUCUGAACCUACACAGGUGGACUCAAAUGAGGGACCAAACAACUAGAACAUAACUCUAAAAACACCCCCAAAAACCCCCUAAAACACCACAAACAAUCAUGCAAGAACAUGCAAAGGAAGGCUGGACAGGGCAGGUUCGGCGGCACCUUCGGCGGCCGAAAGUCCCAGACAGAGACGAAAGUCUCUUUUCGGGGGCAACUUCGGCAGCCGAAAGGCCUGCCUCCCAAGCCAUGUUCGGCGGCCGAAAGUCCUUCGGCUGCCGAACCUGGUUUCUGCCAAAGGGCAGAAACUUGGCUCCCUUUGCACAAAAACUUCUCCUUUCCAUUCCAACAUGCAUAUAACUCAUCCAAAUCAUGCAAAUAUACAUACAUAGGCUCCUAGGGGCUUCAAACUACCUAAAACCCCAACUACAACACACAAUCACAACACAUUGCUAAAAAACACAACAUAAACUCAAAAACCUAACUAUGAGCUAAACAUGCAUUCUACCCCAUAGAUCUUGCAUAAAACUUACUUUAAACAUGAAAUGAGCUUAAGAUCGGCUCUUACCUCUUGAAGAUCGAGGGAGAGACGUCCUAAGCUCGGAGGUGGGAGAUUUUUGAGUUCUUGAACCUCAAAGCUCCAAAACUUGCUUUAAACUCGAAAAUCUUCAAAACAAGAUGAAAACUUGUGAAAAUCAUGAAAGAUUUGAAGGAAAGAACUCAAGGAUGGUGAGGAACGGCGGAAGGGCUCACCUUGGCCGAAAAUGGGGAGAAAGCUCGCCCAUUUCGGCUAAGGGGCUCUUUUAUAGUGGCUGGCCAGGCCACAUUCGGGAGCCGAACGUGCCCCCGCAUGCAUGCCAUGUUCGGCGGCCGAACCUGGGCUUCCCUCACUUAUGCCUUCGGGGGCCUAAGGCUCACCCGAAAAGCAUGCAUGUUCGGCGGCCGAACUUUGAGUUUCGGCGGCCGAACCUGAGUUUCCUCCAAGGGUGUUUUUAUUCAAAAAAAUCAUUUCCUCUUUACUUAAAAUCAUCAAAAACAUUAAAACAUUUUAUGAAAACAUGUUUCUACCCUACUACAUCCGAGAUUCCACCGGACGGUAGGAAAUUCCGAUACCGGAGUCUAGCCGGGUAUUACAGUUAGACUUUGGCGGUUCUUGGAGGCAGCAUCUACCUCUGGUGGAGUUUGCCUAUAAUAACAGCCAUCAUGCUAGCAUAGGGAUGGCUCCUUAUGAAGUUUUGUAUGGGAGGAAGUACAGAUCACCUGUUUGCUGGGAAGAGAUAGGAGAGAAGGCUCUUGCAGGGCCAGAGUUAAUCGAGAUUACCAGUCGAGUGGUGCCUAUGAUCAGAGAGAGAAUCAGAACAGCACAGAGCAGACAGAAAAGUUAUGCAGACGUUCGCAGAAAACAGUUAGAGUUAUGAAGUUUCGUCUCUGGAGAGGACUUUUGGCCGCCGAACCUGCCGCCGAAAGUGUCCUGUCCAGCUUUCCUUUGCAUGCUUUGCAUGAGUUUUAGAGUGAGAUUAAGGGGAUUCUUGAGGAGUUUAUAGAGUUGUUCAUAAGCUAGUUUGGUCCCUCAUUUGAGUCCAUCUGUAUAGGUACAGACCAGAGGAACCAGAGAGAGCAGCGGUGAGUACUGCUCCAAAGUGUUCAGAGCCUGCAGAGUCAGUCCAGGUAGCCAGAGGUGAGUAGAACUAAACUUAACUCUUUUAAUUGAACAAUGGAAUGUUUUCGCAUAUCUCAUGCAUCAUGAUUAUGCACUAGGUUGAUUGCACUAGUAUCCACGAAUAUGUUGCAUUGCAUAGUUAUGUGUUGAUGUAGGUAAAUGCUGAAUGAUCCAAUAGUCUCAGGUAUAGAGAAGUCCAGGAGCCUUUAACUACGCCCUGGCAGGUAUAGAGUAAAGUCCAGGAGCCUUUGACUACGCCCUGGCAAUGGUAAGUACAGAGGUGUUAUAUACACAUAUAGAUAUAUAUGACAGGAAGACCAGGUGCUCGAUUCUACGCCCUGGUACGACAGAGUUACCGGGACUAUGUGGUGACAGGUUUACCCUUGAUGUGGAUUGUCUGUGUUAUGAUGCAUUCCAUAAGAUCAUGCUUUAAUGAUAUGUUUUACUGUUCUACUCACUGGGCUAUAGAGCUCAUCCCACUCCCUUAACCCCAGUUUUGCAGGUUCAGUAGACAGUAUACAGAGGAGAUCCACAGAGUACAGAAAGAGUAAAGAGAUUUGUAAUAGCUUAGAGUGGACAUGUAAUAUUAAAGAGAUGUACUAGUUGUGUAUAACGUUAGCAAUGUGCUUGACUUAGUGAUGUGUGUUGUGUACAUGAUCUGUAUAUGUAUAUAUGUUUUACUGUAUGUGAAAAACCAGGCUUAACAGGUAUGAGUUAAUCCAUCUAGAGCAAGCUCUAGUCAGGGGUACAGAGUACAGAGUACAGAGUACAGAGAUAGUGCAUGCACAGGUUAAGCCUUGGUUCAGAAAAGAGUUUUUAUUUUCACAGAAAAUGUAUGAUCAUGUAUGAGUUUUACAGGUACACAGAGAGUAUAGCAGGCUUGCUACGGGUUCUGGCGGCCUUAAGCCGACCUGAAUCCUAGCACCGGUGACGGUCCAUUUGGGGGUCGUUACAGCUGGUCUGUCAUCACUACUCCUUGAUGGCUCUCCAGAUAAACCCUGAAUUUUCUGACUGCUAAUAAUAGGGCGUACGCUAUUUUUUCGAUGUUCAGAUAUCUUGUUUCAGCAUCUUUGAGCACCCUGCUGACAUAGAAAACCAGCUUCUUCUCUCCUUCUUCCACUCUUACCAGUACGGCGCUAACAGCUUGCUCUGAGGUUGCCAAGUAGAUCAAGAGCUCUUCCCUUUCCAACGGACUACUAAGCACAUGUGACAAGCUAAGACAGCACUUGAGCUCUUUGAAGGCUUCUUGACAGUCUUUAGUCCAUUCGAAGUUCGAAACUUUCCUUAGCUUCUUGAAGAAUGGCAAGCAUCUUUCGAUCGACCUCGACAUGAAACGGUUGAGCGCCACCACCCUUCCAGUAAGUCUUUAGAUGUCCCUUACACAGGUCGGCUCAGGCAUUUUCAAUAUGGCUUCCACCUUUUAUGGGUUGGGCUCAAUUCCUUUUCCGCUCACCAUGUAUCCCAGGAACUUUCCUCCCCUGAUGAAGAAAGCGCAUUUUGCUGGAUUCAACCUCAUUCUGUAUCGCUCUAGCACCUCAAACACCUCUCUUAGAUCCAUCAAGUGUUGCUGCAAAGUUGGGCUUUUGACAACCAUGUCAUCCACGUACACCUCGACAUUCCUACCGAUCUGCUCUUUGAAAAUUUUAUUCAUUAGUCUCUGGUAUGUUGCACCGGCAUUCUUUAGCCCAAAAGACAUAGCCCUGUAACAAUAGGUUCCAUCUUCUGUUAUGAACGAGGUCUUCUCUUCAUCCGACCUGUCCAUUGAAAUUUGGUGAUAACCCGACAUUGCAUUCAGAGACGACAUAUAAUCAAAACCGACCGUAGAAUCAACCAUUUUAUUAAUAUCAGGGAGGGGAUAACAAUCUUUGGGGCAUGCCUGGUUAAGGUCAGUAAAAUCUAUACACAUCCUAUAUUUGCCAUUGGCUUUUUUUACUAAUACAGGAUUUGCUAGCCAUUGUAUGUACAUUACUUCCCUGAUAAACCCUGCUUCCUCCAGCUUUUGUACCUCCUCCCUAAUGGCUUGUUGUUUUUCUCUUCCCACCACUCUCUUCUUUUGUUUUAUUGGCCUGGCUUCUAGGAGGACGUUCAACUUAUGAGUCAUCACCUCAGGGUCUAUCCCAGGCAUGUCAGACGGCUUCCAGGAGAAGCUUGAUGCGUGACCUCGGAUCAGGGCCAUUACUUCGGUUUUCUGCUCUUCAGUCAGGCCGGCAUUAAGACUGAAAACCUUAUCUGUCUCUGCUUCUAAUAAGGGAAAAGUUUCCAGUUCUCCAACUGGUUCCGUUCUGGCCUCUUUCUUCUCAUCCCGGACUUCUAGGACCUCUGAGUCGAACUUCUCUUCUGCUGACCCCGGAUCUGAUACUGUAGCCAGGUAUACUGCUCUCGCCUCUUCCUGACACCCUCUGACUACUCCCACUCCCGCUUCAGUCGAAAACUUCAUAGCCAAGUACCUUAUACUGGUUACAACCUCAAAGUCGUACAGCACUGGCCUCCCUAGUAUUGCAUUAUAGUUCAGGGGAAGCUUCACCACCAGGAAUACCGCGUAGUGAGUACGAGCCAACAGUGCCUCUCCGAGGGUCAGCGCCAAUUUCACCUUUCCUUCCACCGGCACUGGGACUCCUCCGAUCCCCUUUAUCGGGGCCUGAUCCCAAACCAGUUGUUCUUCGGGGAUUCUCAUUUGCUGGAAGACUCUAUACGACAGUAAGUUCACCUUGCUACCAUUGUCGACAAGGACCUUUCUGACCCGAUAGUUGUGAAUGACGGCCUCAAUAAUGAGAGCAUCAUCGUGAGGUGUCUGAAUGCCCUGGGCGUCCUCUAGAGAGAAAGAAAUGACCGCUGGAAAAUGUUCAGCUACUUGCAUGACCUCGGCGCUGCUACCCUCGCCAUUUCGACCUCUCUUUUUUCCUCUUCUGCUCAUCCGACCUUCCGUUCCCCCAACAAUCAUAUUGAUGGUUCCACUGGAGCCAUCAUUCACCGGUCCUGCUCCUGCCCUCCGGGGUCUUUCUGCUGUAGGGUUCUGCUGAGGCCUUUCUCCCUCCAGUUUCUUCACAAAGUUUCGCAAGUGCCUCCUCUUAAUCAGCCUUUCGAUCUCACUGAUCAGCUGGUAGCAGUUAUUGGUGUCGUGGCCGUGUGUACGAUGGUAUUGGCAGUAUUUGUCAGGAUCUCGCUGGCUUGCCUCAGCUCUCAUUGGUUUCGGCCACUGGAGGAACUCUUUGUUUUGUACUGCCAUGAGCACUUCGGCUCGGGAGGCGUUGAGAGGGGUCAGGGUCUCUGGAACCCGCGGGAAAAAUGGUCUUUGUUCUGGAACCCGAGGGGGAAAUGGUCUUUGGUCCCUUCGGUCCCAAGGAUGUUUGUAGGUCUCAGGCCUUUUGCUUUGCUUUUUCUCCGGCCUUUCCGACCUCCUUUCUUCGGGGCUCUCCCCCUGUCUGCCGCUUCCUUGGCGAAUCUGCUUGUCACUAAGGCAUCAUCCUGCCUUAUGUACUUUUCCGUCCUCUUCAUUAAUUCCGCCAGCAAGGUGGGGGGCUUUCUAUUUAACGAGCCAAAGAACUCUGGGGAGAUCGUCCUUUCUGCAUGGCUUCUACUGCUCUGCUUUCGUCCAGCUCGGGAAUCUGCAGGGCCUCCGUAUUGAAACGGGCUACGUAUUCUCUCAGCGAUUCAUUCCUUCCCUGCCUGACUGUCUCCAAAUAGCUGGUUUUCCUGUCAGUUGGCACUCCGCCUAUGAACCGGCUAAUGAAGACAUUGGCUAAAUCUCCAAAGCUCCUGAUGCUUCCGACUUCUAUGCUGUUGAACCACGCCCGUGAGCGUCGUAGGGAAUACCUUGCACAUUAAGGCAUCCGAUAGGGUCUGCAGCUCCAUGAAGGUCUUGUAGUUAAGGACAUGCUCCCUUGGGUUUCCAGCUCCGUCGUAUGUUGCCAUAGGUGGCAUCAUGAAUUUUUUGGGGAUGGUCUCUUGCUGCACCCAUUUUGAGAAAGGCGAGGAUGUAGGCAAGAGGGUUUGACUACGAUCUUUUGCUCCCAACUCGACCAGGAGCUGUUCUCUCAUCUUUUGCAGUUUUUGAUCUACAUCCUCUUCUUCCUGCCUAGGUCUUUUCCCCAUGCGGCAUUCCUCUUUCCACUCAUCGUCCUCCGUUCUCCUGGUAGUCCUAGCAGAGUAACUGUCUGCCUCGUCAUUUUCUAUCAACUCCCUUACCCUUCUUCCAUGGACUCUGGCUUCCGGCUCUUCUUCUUCACCUGCUCUUCUGCCUCUUUCUCUGAUUUCUUUGCUGUUUGCUUGAGGAUGGUUGAAGGUAGGCUGGGGUUCAUUGGUUCGAGACUCUUCUACCACAGGCAACGCGUUCGCUAGGGUAUUGAGGUCCCUCUGCUGCAUUAUCUAUCCUAGCCAAUGAGCGGUGUUUUGCAGUUGAAGGGCCAUGGCUUGGAGGUCAUGGUUGGACAGGGUAGCUCCAAGCACAUUCCCUGCCGAGUUCGGCGAGGGAUUAAAAGGGGUUGGUUGUUGGCUGUUGAGGGUUGCGGGGCUAGAGAAAGAGAACUGUUGCCCCUCCUGGGCAGAGCUCAGGUGGUUGGGGGUAUUAGGAAUGUUGUUUUCGUUAUGGUUGGCCAUUGUGGAUCUCAGUGGGUGUUUUUGAGAAUGGAAACUCCGGCGAUGAAAAGAUCUCCUUCGUUUCCCACAGACGGCGCCAAGUGAUAAUCUCAGAUCCAGAAAAUAGGGGUUUACAAAGGGUUUGUAAGCUUAGUCCGAGAGGAGAGUGUUUCUCCCCUUUUAUCCUUUUCUUUUGUCCACUAGUGACGCAUAACGGCCUUGCCCCUAUUGGGCCACCUGUCUCUGUCACACAGAUAUGGACGUACGAAAGCGUCAGACAUCUGCACCACGCUAAACGACCAUUUAAUCCCUCCCGGGCGCGCGUGUGAACAGAUCAUGCUGGACAGAUGGACUGGUUAUCCCUCUCCUACUUGGCCUCAGGACUGGACUAGAUGUGGAAGGGUUGAGGCCCAUGGGAGGCCCGAUUUCGAGGCCGGAUGGUCCAGGCCGGCUCAUUGAAUAGGCUUCUCGACCUUUAGUAUGAGACUGUCAUCGUGGGCCUGGUCUCAUAUAGGGGAGAUGAAGCCCAGCGGUCAUCACAUAUAAAUACCUUUCAUUUCUUGAUUGUUUCAAUCUGAUAUGAGUUGAUUUUCUUAUGAAAUUGUUUGAAUUGAUUUUUGGGUAUAUAUUAUUUUGUUUUUUUAAAUCUCAUUGAAGUUUUUUAGUAAAAGAGUUUACUGUUGCAAAGAGACGGAGGUGGGACUUAUGGGUUUUACCCUUUGUUUGGAGGAUGUAUUGUAAAGGUGGUUGAAAUUUUAAAUUUAUAUUUAAAAGAGAAUAAGAAUUUUUAAAAUAAACUUUUUUGAAAUUCUAAAAAACCUGAAAAUUUUUUUUUAAAUAUAUUAAAAAAUUUUAAAUAAUAAAAUAUUAUCAAUAUUUAAAAACACACAAAAAAAAUCUUAUUUUAUAAAACCUUCAUUUACUUUGACUUCUACAAAACAGAGCGAGCGUUAGGGUUUAGGGUUUGCAUUUUUGGGUUAGAGGUGGGCCUUAGCCCACCUCUUGUAUCUCCUAUCAUAUUAAUGAAAUUUUAUGUCAGUUCACAGUACUGGACUUUGUUGGUUAAUAAUGGGUGGGCUCUGAUAUCUAGACCUCUUAUUUUCAUUUUUCUUCUUUAAUUUAAAGGCCCAUGAUUGUAUUGCUUUAUACUCGAUGAAUCUCAUCCUUAUUUUCAUUUUCUUUUAAAAAAUAAACCUUCAUUUCAAGAUUAAUUACAUUUAAUUACCUUAAAAUUUAGGAUUUUUAAAUUCUCUUAAAAUUUAGGAUUUUUAAAUUCUGAUUUCUUAUAUUCAAUUUAUUUUUUUAAUAAUUUUUAAAAAAUAUUUUCAUUUUAAAAGAGAUCAAACUCUUAUAUGAUUUUAUAAAAAAUUAAUUGAAAUAUUUACAUUUUUUAUUAUCAUAUUUAUAGAAAAAUAAUAUUUGUUGUUGUUUUUCACAAUAUAGAUUACAACCUAUUUAUAUAUGAGAAACGGUAUCUAAACAGGAAGAAAAAUCAAAUCUAUGAUAAUACAAUCUCUAAGAUUAAGUAACUGACCUAUCUAUAAAUAUUUACUUUCUACAUUAAUAUAUUUACUUUCUAUAACUUAUAACACUCCCCUCAAGUUGGAUUAUAAAUGUUAAUUAUGCCCAACUUGUUACAUAUAUAACCAACUCGAGUCCCAUUUAGAGCUUUAGUUAAAAUAUCUCCUAAUUGUUCUCCAGUUCGGAUAUGUCAUGUUGAUAUUAUCUUUUGUUGGACCUUUUCACGAACAAAAUGACAAUCAAUCUCUACGUGUUUAGUCCUCUCGUGAAAUACUGGAUUGGAGGCAAUGUGGAUAGCUGCUUGAUUAUCACACCACAACUUAACAGGCACCGAAUUUGUGAACUCAACUUCUUCCAACAGUUGACGUACCCACAAGAUUUCACAAACGGCUUGUGCCAUGGCUCGAUAUUCAGAUUCAACACUAGAACGGGAGACUACAUUUUGCUUCUUACUUUUCCAUGAGACCAAGUUACCUCCCACAAAAACACAAUACCCAGUAGUUUACCUCCUAUCAACUUUCGAGCCUGUCCAAUCAGCAUCAGAAAAGCAUUCAAUAUUUGAGUGCCCAUGGUUACCAUAGAAUAGGCCUCGCCCUGGGGCCCCUUUAAGGUAACAAAGAAUCUGUCCCAGAGCAUCCCACUGGGCAACAGUAGGAGAAGACAUAAACUGACUUACCACACUCACUGAAUAUGCAAUAUCAGGAUGAGUCACCGUCAAAUAAUUCAGCUUGCCAACUAAUCUUCUAUACCUUUCAGAAUCUGCAAAUGGCUCACUGUCUUCUGUGGUAAGUUGAAGGUUAGGGGUUGAUGACGUUGAGUCAUUUGGGUCCUGGGUCCACACCAGUGAAUAUUGUCCGCUUUGGCUCAAGGCCGCACGGUUUUGCUUAAAACGCGUCCACUGGGGUUUCAAGGAUAGAGACUUAUAAGGCCUUCUUCCUUUUAACCUCUUUCCGAUGUGGGAUACCUUUUGAUCCACCCGCACAGGGGGCCUUCCCCCCCAUACAGGUCUGAGCGUGCUUGCUCAGCGCACCGUACUCGUGAGGACCAGGGUUAUGUUUUUUCCCACAGACGGCGCCAUUUGAUGACGUUGAGUCAUCUGGGUCCUGAGUCCACACCAGUGAAUAUUGUCCGCUUUGGCUCAAGGCCGCACGGUUUUGCUUAAAAUGCGUCCACUAGGGUUUCAAGGAUAGAGACUUAUAAGGCCUUCUUCCUUUCAACCUCUUUCCGAUGUGGGAUACCUUUUGAUCCACCCGCACAGAGGGCCUUCCCCCCCAGUGGACGCGUUUUAAGCAAAACCGUGCGGCCUUGAGCCAAAGCGGACAAUAUUCACUGGUGUGGACCCAGGACCCAGAUGACUCUACGUCAUCAAAUAGCGCCGUCUGUGGGAAAAACAUAACCCUGGUCCUCACGAGUACGGUGCGCUGAGCAAGCACGCUCAGGCCUGUAUGGGGGGGAAGGCCCCCUGUGCGGGUGGAUCAAAAGGUAUCCCACAUUGGAAAGAGGUUGAAAGGAAGAAGGUCUUAUAAGUCUUUAUCCUUGAAACCCCAGUAGACGCGUUUUAAGUAAAACCGUGCGGUCUUGAGCCAAAGCGGACAAUAUUCACUGGUGUGGACCUAGGACCCAGAUGACUCAACGUCAUUAGGGGUCAUUGGGGCACUAUAAGGCUUAGCACUCAAUUUUCUGUUUCUGCCAACAAAUCAAGAACAUAUUUUCUUUGAGAUAAGAAGAUGCCUUUCUUACACCGCAUAACUUCGAUUCCCAAGAAAUAUUUCAAGGAACCCAAAUCCUUUGUAUGAAACUGUGUUUUAAGAAAUUCGUUUAGGGAUGUGAUGCCAGCAAUGUCACUUUCUGUAAUAACGAUAUCAUCCACAUAUACUACAAGCAUAAUUACUCCACUAUCAGAAUUUUUAUAAAACACUGAGUGAUCACACUUACUCAUCUUCAUUCCAAACUGUUGGACUACCUCACUAAACCUGCCAAACCAUGUCCGAGGACUAUGUUUCAAGCCAUAAAGGGAUUUUCGAAAUCUACAAACCUUACCUGACUCCCCCCUGAGCAACAAAACCAGGUGGUUGCUCAAUAUAAACCUCCUCCUGAAGAUCACCAUGAAGAAAAGUAUUUUUAAUAUAUAAUUGAUGCAAAGGCCAAUCAUGAGUAGCCGCCAAGGAAAUAAACAAUCGGACAGAUGCGAGCUUGGCAACUGGGGAGAAUGUAUCAUAAUAGUCAACUCCAUAAGUUUGUGCAUAACCUUUGGCCACUAAACGAGCUUUGAGGCGAGCAAUAGAUCCAUCAGGGUUUACUUUCACUGCAAACACCCAUUUGCACCUAAUAGCCCGCUUUUCUGAGGGCAAGGACAUCAACUCCCAAGUACCAUUAGUGUCAAGGGCCAUCAUUUCCUCUUCCAUUGCAGCAUGCCAACCAGGAUGGGACAAAGCCUCAAUAACAAUUUUGGAAAUUGAAAUAGAAUCUAAAGCAGUGACAAAACAACGAGAAGAGAAGGAUAAUUGAUCAUAAGAGACACAAGAUGAAAUAGGACAAGUGCAAGUACGUUUACCUUUGCGAAGAGUAAUGGGCAAAUCCAAAUUAGACAGUGAAGGAUCAGUGGGAGCAGGAUCAGGAUUGAUCGACGAAGAAGCAGGUAGCAGAACGGAGUCAGAGUCCUCUAAGCAUCUGGAAUACACAAUCUGUAACGACCCGAAAAUUGAACCGCUACCGGCGCUAGGAUUCAGAUCGACUUAAGGUCGUCGGGACCCUUAGCAAGCCUACUAAACAUCUUGUACAUCUGAUACAAUCCCAUACAUGAUCAUACAUUUUCAUAAAAACUUUAAACUUUCACAUAUACCAAGCUUGACCUGCAUGCAUUAUACUGUAAACAUAAAACCCCUUACUAGAGCCCUCAUCAAAUGCUCCAGUUGGGUCAACAUCUCAUACAUCAAACUUGGUUCAACAUACCAUAACAUUAAAACAUUUACAUCAAGAUCAUGUACAACAGGGAUUAACCAUAAACAUUAGGGCCAAGCACCAUACUAAUCACCAUUACAAUACUUUACAUUAUCUCAUUUUACAUUUCAUUACAUUACAUGCCAUUUCAUCAUGUCCACAACUAUUCUAUUAUAUAGACACCUCUUUUACUCUUGACGACCUCCCGGUCUAUCCUGAACCUGCAAACCUGGGGGUUAGGGGAAAAGGGUGAGCUACUAGAGCCCAGUGAGCAGAACAGUAAAAUAAUAUAUUAAAAUAUAUGCUUUCAUGGAAUGCAUCACAUCACAAACAAUUUACAUCAAGGACAGACUUGUCACCAUUAGCCCUCUACACAUUCCAAUGGUGCCAGAGGACGUAGAAUGGGUCCCACUGGUCUUUCUCUUAAACAUAACAUAACAUAGUAUAUCCAAUAUGCCAGGGGCGAUUAGGCCACACCUGGUCUUUCUCUUACUCGGUGCCAGGGACGAUUAGGCCACACCUGGUCUUCUUUUACUCUGUGCCAGGGGCGAUUAGGCCACACCUGGUCUUUCCAUCUCGUAUCAUAUCAUAUUACAUCGAGGGCUAAUGGGUCAUCCAACAUCCAUCCACAUCAACAUCAUAAUAUGCAAUGCAACAUAUUCAUGAAUUCUAAUGCAAAACGACCUAAUACAUAUCAUGGCAUUUGUGAUGCAUGAGUCAUGCUAAAAAUAUUUCAUUCCUUUAAAAUAAGUAAGUUGUGUUCUACUCACCUCUGGCUGACGCUUUACUGACUCUGUAGCAGCUAGCUCACUGCUGACCUCCUCAGUCUCUCAGGUCUGAUCCUACACAGGUGGACUCAAAUGAGGGACCAAACAUACUCUAACAUAACUCUAAACAUCUCCCCAAAAACCCCCUAAAACAUCACAAAACAUCCAUAGAAAACAUGCAAAGGAAGGUUGGACAGGGCACUUUCGGCGGCAGGUUCGGCGGCCGAAAGUCCCUCCAGAGC
rnacentral:lncRNA from 1 species